rnacentral:rRNA from 1 species
UACGGAGGAUGCGAGCGUUAUCCGGAUUUAUUGGGUUUAAAGGGUGCGCAGGCGGAUUUUUAAGUCAGCGGUCAAAUCGUGGGGCUCAACCCCAUCCAGCCGUUGAAACUGGGGAUCUAGAGUGUGCGAGAGGUAUGCGGAAUGCGUGGUGUAGCGGUGAAACGCAUAGAUAUCACGCAGAACCCCGAUUGCGAAGGCAGCAUACCGGUGCACAACUGACGCUCAGGCACGAAAGCGUGGGUAUCGAACAGG